rnacentral:rRNA from 1 species
UGCGAAGGGGGCUAGCGUUGCUCGGAAUUACUGGGCGUAAAGGGCGCGUAGGCGGGUCGUUAAGUUAGAGGUGAAAGCCCAGGGCUCAACCCUGGAAUUGCCUUUAAUACUGUCGACCUUGAGUAUGGCAGAGGUGUGUGGAACUCCGAGUGUAGAGGUGAAAUUCGUAGAUAUUCGGAAGAACACCAGUGGCGAAGGCGACACACUGGGCCAUUACUGACGCUGAGGCGCGAAAGCGUGGGGAGCAAACAGG